UAAGGAAUAUUGGUCAAUGGACGAAAGUCUGAACCAGCCAUGCCGCGUGAAGGAUGAAGGCCCUCUGGGUUGUAAACUUCUUUUAUCUGGGACGAAAAAAGGGAAUUCUUUCUCACUUGACGGUACCAGAGGAAUAAGCACCGGCUAACUCCGUGCCAGCAGCCGCGGUAAUACGGAGGGUGCAAGCGUUAUCCGGAUUCACUGGGUUUAAAGGGUGCGUAGGUGGGUCUGUAAGUCAGUGGUGAAAUCUCCGAGCUUAACUCGGAAACUGCCAUUGAUACUAUAGGUCUUGAAUUAUCUGGAGGUAAGCGGAAUAUGUCAUGUAGCGGUGAAAUGCUUAGAUAUGACAUAGAACACCAAUUGCGAAGGCAGCUUACUACGGAUAUAUUGACACUGAGGCACGAAAGCGUGGGGAUCAAACAGGAUUAGAUACCCGCGUAGUCC
rnacentral:rRNA from 1 species